AUGUCGGCCGACCGCGUGUGUCGCCUCCCGCAAUCAGUGAGAUCCGAGAGGAAGAGGGGAGGCAGAGAGGGGAUGGAGUGGGUAACAAGGGAGGCUAGGGAGGACGAAGAGGAUAGAGAAACCUGGAAGCGCGAUGGUGAAGGAUUAUAUUUCGGAAGGAACCAAUUUUUUAUGGUCACGGCAACCAUGAUCAUAUUUUCAAAUAGCCAAGCAUAA
rnacentral:rRNA from 1 species